AGCUGCCAACGUAUACAACUUUGGCUUUCCUAAUUAAAGUUCUGCUGAAAAAAGCUGCCCCUCUCCUCUGACUCUCUCACAGGAAUGCACUCUCGUAACAGAGGCAUCUGCCCCCUGGACUAACCUUUCUUAAAACCAGAUAAACAAAGUAAUACCAAUAAAAAUAUCCAUCUGUGUUUAAAGAUAAAUAGAGCAUUAAUAUACCAAACUGAGAUCUGGAUUCUUUUGGAACCAGCUUUAAUGAUAUUAGACAUCUGUUCUGGCUUGCUUUCCACUCAUUUUCCACUUGCAGAUUCUUAUAAGAAAACCAUGUGACAGCAGUUUUUCUGUGGGAAGUGGGGGUGCCACCUGAACCCCUGCCCUUUCUCAGGUGAUUGCCCCAGUAGAGGGUAGUAGAUCCCAAAGGUGUAAGCCAGUGAUGUCCCUUACCAUGUGGCAGUCUGUUUGGGCCUCAUUGUGGAUUUUAAGCACUGUGAUCUUUUUACAUGUUUAUUUUUGAGAUACCAGAACGCCAACUUAUUCCUUUACAAUGGUAAGUGGAAUUGUCAAGUAGACCAGAUGCACAAAUGUUGGCACAAUCGUGGCAGCCUUUCUCAUCCUGGAGUUAAGUCGUAUGAAUAUCCAAGAAAUAUCCAGGAGCUAUUCAUUUACCAGGAGAGAGCAGUUUCUCUGGCAGGAAAGGUGGGAGGUCCCCAUGAUGAUUGUUUCUUUUAAAGAGAAUUGGACUUGGAUGACAAAAAAAACACCCUUUAAGUGUUUCUUUUACCAUUUUUAACACUCAAGAACAAUUUCAGGCAAAGUACUAUUGUGGGAAAUCUUUCUCCACUUAAAUGCAGACUUGUCGACCUGGAUUUGUUAGAUUUGGUGCUAACUCCAAAGUGACUACGGGCAGAUCAGUGGGGGUGGGGGCCACGUUGGAAAUGUGCGGGGGCAUUCAGAAUUGUUCCGAUGAUGGGAGAGA
rnacentral:lncRNA from 1 species